rnacentral:tRNA from 3 species
GGGCCUAUAGCUCAGUUGGUUAGAGCAACGGACUCAUAAUCCGUUGGUCGCUGGUUCGAGUCCAGCUGGGCCCACCA